rnacentral:rRNA from 1 species
GACGAACGCUGGCGGCGUGCUUAACACAUGCAAGUCGAACGGUGAAGCACCUUCCUUUUGGUGGGUGUGGAUGAGUGGCGAACGGGUGAGUAACACGUGAGUAACCUGCCCCCUUCUUCUGGAUAACCGCAUGAAAGUGUGGCUAAUACGGGAUAUUCUGGGUCUGUCGCAUGGCUGGCCUGGGAAAGUUAUUGUUUCGUUGGUGGAUGGGCUCGCGGUCUAUCAGCUUGUUUGUGGGGUGAUGGCCUACCAAGGCGGUGACGUGUAGACGGCCUGAGAGGGUGGAAGGUCACAGUGGGACUGAGAGACGGACAAGACGACUACGGGAGGCAGCAGUGGGGAAUAUUGAACAAUGGGCGAAAGGCUGAUGCAGCGACGCCGCGUGAGGGAUGGAGGCCUUCGGGUUGUAAACCUCUUUCGCCAGUGAAGCAGGCCUGUACCUGUUGUGGGUGGGUUGACGGUAGCUGGAUAAGAAGCGCCGGCUAACUACGUG